GCCAUGGCUCUGACGGCCGCUGCUCUCUAAGUUGCCAUAAUACAGACAGUGACUCGAGUAUAAGUCGAGUGGGGGUUUUUAAGCACAAAAAAUGUGCUGAAAAACUAGAUUUAUACUCGAGUAUAUACUGUAACUGCUUUAUUAUGGCCAACUUUAUAAAAAAAAUUUUUAGCUUAAUUUGAGAGUUGCUAACCUCUGAGCAGUCAGGCUAGAAUUCACUCCCCAUGUCUAAAAAUGACUUGGGCACCCAUUAACUUUUUUAAAACUGGCAUCAUUCAUUGCACCAGUUCUGGUAAGUACUAAGCGCUGCAUAUCAAACGCCCGACAAGGAUCUGACUUGGUCAUCUAGCCAUUACGACUUGGCCUUUCAGUCAUAGAUUAUUUCACUUGCCUGUCUCUCCUGUUUACACAAAAUGCAAUUCCAAGGACUGUUCACCUGCUGCCUAAUAUAU